UAGAGAAGCCACCAUUGCUUUGAACCACAACAGCCAUCGUCAUCGUCGCACAGCUGAUUGAUGUUCAAGAACCCGAAGAAGUAUUUCUCUCUGCUUGCCAAAUAUCUGAUUCUCCAGCUUCAACCUUAAUUGAUUCAAACGUGCUCUUCUCAGUGCCAACAAUGGAUGGAGGUAAACCAGGGGGUGGAAGAAGGUUUUGCUUCUAAUCAGGUGGAGUUUUAUGAAACCAUUGAGUCAG